rnacentral:lncRNA from 1 species
GGGACCGAGCGGGACCCCGAACCAAGGGACAGUCGCAGUUUGGGCCCCUUGAAUUUUACUUUCAAGUAAUGGGAAACUGAGGAGGCGGGCGCUUUCCCCAGCGUUUUUAGGGGCCCACUAAGUAAGGCCUAGCGGGAGCCAGAUUUUACAAUCUGGGACGGUAAAUCCCUUGGGGCAGGGCCGGAGACGGGAGCCGCUAGAGCUGGUCACAAAGCAGGGAACGCAAACUCAGCCUGCUGGAAGCCAGGCACGAGUUUGCGAACUACUACUGGAUUCUUUUUCCCACCAAGCCCAAGGGCUGCGACACUUGGGAUUAAUGCCCAAUGGAUCAUUCCUAGGAAACGGCCGACCUGACUAUUCGGCCCAUUUUCAAACCUCUAACCAUAGACUCUCAUCUUUCUCCCACAACAGAAAAAAAAAGCCUCUGGCGACGCCUGGGAGCGCGACGGAGGCGCAAGAGCUCUAACCGCGCGAGGUGAAAACUCCGACUGCGUCAGAGCCGCCCCGCCCCGCCUGGGGCCCACCUUCCGCCGCCCCUCCGAGCUGCGGCGAAAACCCGGAGAGCGGCUAGGCCGGGGUCGGAGCCCGCGCAUGCCCAGUAGCCCCACGUGGUGCAAGUCGCCUGAAGGAAGGUUUUCCUCUGCUCCCCGAGCGAAGCCCCAGCGCCCAAGUUAGGAUGGACAGCGGGGAGAGCUGGCCUUCCCGCCCCGAUGCCCGCCGUCCCUGGCCGGCCCGCGCCGCACCUCGGUGGCCUACAGGCAGCCCGAGGCCGUGCCUCCCGCGGGGUCGGGGACUUGGCGAGCGGGGGAAGGGGCGCGGCUACGGGCCCGGCGUACCACGUGACUGUCCGCGGCGCUCCGGGCAGCCAUCUUCCGCCCGGCCAUCGGGCCGCGGGCGCUCGGAACCGACCUGGGAGCUGGCGGGACCGUCCUCCCCCGCCACGCCCUCCCAUCGGGCUUUGGGCGCCGGACUCUGGCCACCGCUCGGCACCUGCCUCCGCCUCGCCUUGGGGUAUAGGAGUCCUGUACCGACCCCUGGCUUGCCCAGAGGACAGGUUCUCGCCCGGGCCAGAAGCAAACUGCGGCGAAAUCGAGACAACAGAACUCAGGUGGCGGAGGGUCCCCGCUUUUCCCCAGAGGCGGAAGUUGGCGAGGGAGUCCUCUUCCGUUAUCCAGCGAGAGCGCUGCUCUGGCUGCCUCCCGGUUCUAACCUAGUCCCUGCAGAGGAGUGAUGUACCGGCAGGGACAUUGGACAGAGGCCGUGCUCUUCCCUGCAGCGCAUACCCCGCGGCCCCUGCUGGUGGGCCGCUUCGAUGGUGCUGAGGUUCAUAGUGAAUAUUUAUUGAGCGCCUGCCUCGAGUCCCUUGGGUUUCCUGUUGUCUCGGGACCUGCCGCGUCACUAUCACCCUAGAAUUUGUUAGAAAUGCACGUUUUCGGCCCCACCUAGACCUACAGAACCAGAAACUGCGGGUGGAGUCCUGCAAUAUGAUUAACAAAGCCCUCCGGGUAGUUGUCAUGGACGCCUCUAUAUUUCAGCUAAGCAGUCCAUUUUAAUAAGCUAGGCAGUGAAAAUUUCCAUAGUUUUCCCCAAAGCACAGUGAGGAGUCAGGGAUUCAAAAUGAGGCAAUCUGCCCCAAUGCAGGCGUUUUAUUGCACCCUCCACUCCUGGCUCCUCUGGUUUUUUCGCCCGUAAGACACAGUACUGCUCUUCUCAGGAAGAUUAGGAAAGUACAUUUGUCACAUACGCUUUUCAAGCACGGCUUUAAAAUAACAACUGAAAUUCAGUUCAACUGCAUGUUUUGAGUAUCUACUGGGAGCAAGGCUCUGUGAAGUAUAGUAGCCCUACUGGUUAUGUUUAUCAGUUUGCACCUAAAAGGUGAAAGGAAGGCUUGCUUUCUUGUGAUGUAAAUUUUUUCAAACUAAGGGAGUGCCAGAAAACUGCUGGCUGCUUUCUCUCCCGUGUUGGUUUCUCUCCAGUGCUAUCCAGAAUAUGCUGUAAGCUCUGGACUUCCUGAAACAAAGGUCCAAAGUCACUCUGUCACCCAGGCUGGAGUGCAGUGGCACCAUCACAGCUCCCUGCAGCCUUGACUUACAGGGCUCCAGUGAUCCUCCACCCUCAGCCUCCUGAGUAUCUGAGACCACAGGUGCAAGCCACCAUGCCCAGCAUACAUCUUACUAAGGCAUCUAAAGUACUUACUACUUCGUACUCAUGGGAUCCAAUGAUGCUCACAUAAUGUCAUCAAUAGAGUGGACCAGUGUGAUGUUUUGUGGAAUGUCAGAACAAUCAAGAUCACUUCAGACUAUUAUGGCAGUGAGCAAGAGAACUAAUGGAGCCCGUGGCAACACUGGGAAGACAUAUUGUUGGCCCUGUUGGGUAACAGCAAAUCACUUCUGAUGGACCUUGCAAAUUGGUAUGGAGGAAAAGGCAUUAGCCAGUUGUAGCAAGGAAACCAAAAGGUAUAAACAUUCACUGAUUGAAAAACAAUGUCAUAAAGUCAUCCCAGUAUCUGUGAGGAGUUGGUUCCAGGACCCCUGAGGACACCAAAAUCCUCAGAUGCUCAAGUCCCUGAUAAAAAAAUAAAAGUGGUGCCCUCGGGUUCAAAAACCUGAACGGUGGUCUUCAGUUGUUCCCCCAAGCUCCUCUAUCAGAGGCCCAGACACUCCAAGAGGCUGGGAAGAGGCAAGUGGCUUUCCCUGACUGGCAUCAGACUCCUGGAUGGCUGUGUUUCUGCAUACUCCACCAUCAACAAUCAGAAGGGCACUGCUUUCUUCAAGAAGGGGACCUUGCAAAGAACUGUCUCAGAUGGACUAUCUUUGAGUUCAUCUUGUUCUGAAUGUGAGUCUGAGUCUUUGUUUCCAGAUGACACAGUGCUGUCUGAGUCCUCUGAAUCACCUGCCUCAGAGCUGCAGCAAAGUUUCUGCUGCCCAGAAACUGAAUGGGCUGCUUGUAAUGCAGAUUCUUCCUCCUGGACAAGAAGUGCUGCUGCUUCUAGUUCUUCCAGUUCUAACCCCAACUGGGCCUUUGUAAGGGAGACUUCCUUUAAGGCUUCUGCAAGAGCUGCCAACGUUUUGGAUUUGACUUUCUGAGUCCACACACAGUAGUAUGAGAUGUAGAGAUCAUUCAGUAUGUAUGCUGGGUCGUUUUCCUGAAAAAUUUUGUGAAUAUCCAGGAGACACUUUAAAACUGCACUUUUACUUAAUUGCAGUAUCUUUAUAGUCUCCCCGUAGGCCUUCAUCGCCAGUUUGAAAUGGCGAUAGAGCAGGUAACACAAUACCCUUCUUCCAAAAGACACCAUGAUAUCAUGAACAUUAGUCCAAGUCUCAAACCAGCAUAGUAUUGGACUCAAGUUUCGUGAUAUUCCAUGCAGAUUCAACGUUCUUGUCUCCUUCAGUGACACGGGUUUCUUAGCAAUAUGCCAGAAGGAUAUCAAUCGAACUGUAGUACACUUGACGACAGGCUCUGUUGUCUAGCAGAUAAGAUUUAUUGACAAAUUCUUGUAGCUGAUAUUUCUCUUCUUCAGAAAAAGACACUAAUGCAGCAUGAUUUUCUUGCUUCUGACUCUUUUCCAAAAAGGCCGUCAUUUUUUAAUAUUUGUCAGUCCACCAAGGAUUAUACUUCAAAAUCUGUUCAACUGCCUCAUCUUCAAAAAAGUCAGCUAGAUAAUGAUCAGGAUCAAACUUGGCCAGCUCGGCGGCCAGGUGCUUUUGUUUUCGUUCUGCUGCAGGGAUGAAAUCUGGAUCCUUAAUAACAUCACUCAAUUCAUCCUGUAACUGCUGAAACACUCCUGAUCGUAAGUUUCCAAACCCAUAGUGGCAUGAGGAUUCAAAGCACUUUCUGUUACCUCUUCAUAGGGUGUCUGCUCAAUUUCCCAAUCAAACUCUUCAUCGUCAACUACUUCCUCAGGAAUUUCAGAAUCACCUAUUGCUUCCACAAGUGGUUUUGCUGUCCCGGAUUUUCCUGGUGCCAGAAGAGCAACACAUGUUCAGCCCCUCAAAAUGCUGGCCAGGGGUUUCUCUGGGCAGGCGAGUGGUAAAAAUUCCUUUAUCUGCAUCAUAGGACCCUUGCUCGCUUCCGUAUCCAUAUUCUACAAUUCUUCCAGGAGGGGUUAAUCUGAGAAAGUACGGCUUGGCAUAGUAGUCUAGGCCGACCCCUCGAAGUAGACGUUGAACUCGGAGGCCGGGGCAUAGGGCACGCGGAUGGCGAUGGUCAGGAAAUCCGGCUCCUGGCUGAGGCUGAACGCCGGGGUCAGCAUCGCGGCACCAGACGCAGGGGCCAGCGCGGCUCGCCCUCGCUGCCGCGGCGGUCCCACCAAGCAACUCUCUCCAAUUUUACCUUUUUAAAAUAAAAGAUGUCUGGGCCAGGCGCAGUGGCUCACGCUUGUAAUCCCAGCACUUUGGGAAGCCGAGGCGGGUGGAUCCUGACCUGAGGUCAGGAGUUCAAGAUCAGCCCCGCCGACAUGACGAAACUCCGUCUCUACUAAAAAUACAAACAUCAGCCGGACGUGGUGGUGGGCGCCUGUAAUCCCCACUACUCGGGAGGCUGAGGCAGGAGAAUCACUUGAACCCGGGAGGCAGAGGUUGCAAUGAGCCGAGAUCAUGCCACUGUACUCCAGCCUGGGUGACAGAGUGAGACUCUGUCUCAAAAAAAAAAAAAAAAAAAAAAAAAAAAGUCUGUCUUCCAGGACACAGAAGCCUCCUAUACACACAUUUUGGCACUUGAUUAUGUUAUGUCUUUUACAGUUCUCUGCAUGUUUCUUGCAGGUAAGUCUUGAUUCUUCAAUUACAUAUUAAAUUUCUAUUGAGGAUAUAUAUCUAGCUUUCAUCUUUCAGAGUACCUAGCAUAGGACUUGGCACCAAGUAGCCCAUAGUAAACAGUUAUUCAACCAUAAUGUAUGAUUUUCUUUUCUACUUUUCACUGGUAUGUUUUUGUUUAAAAAGGGUAAACCACCAGGGAUGGAAAUGUCCUUGCUAUGUUAUCCUUCUUCUCUAAUUAGCAACCACCCUUCACAAUCUGCCACAUUACAUUUAAAAAGGAUUUUCAAAUUAGACAUUUAUGCCUGGGCAUUAACCAGGGACUGAUGAAUCAGUGCCAUCAGCAGAACACUGCCCUGACUGGCAGACAUGGCACCAUUGUCAAGACUUGUAAUUUACUCCUGGCUUUUCAAAUAGUCAGUGUGUAACUCCAGGCAAGGUUUAAUUAUCUCCUGUUAAAAUGGGAAUAAUAUGACCCACCCCCACUUUGCUUCCCAUGGGUAUCAUGAGAAUUAAUUAAUUAUUGAAUAAGAAUAUAUGUCUAUAAAAUAUUUUAUAGUUCAUUAGAGGUAAACAAAUGCAAACGUAAGAUAUUGUUCAAUGUAUUAUGAAUGUUCAUUGUUGCUGUAUUUAGUACAAAGUACCUGUAUUAUAUCAACAGUGGUAGUACACAAAAUAAUGAAUACAUGUUGGGUCAGCACCUCCUCCAAUUACCACUUGCAAACAAGUCCUGGAUGGCCAGAACUAAUUGGAAGGUUGAGACAAAAAUUAUAUCUCGCACACUAAAGAAGGGGAGAUUGAUACAGCGCGCUCACCUAAAUUUCGUAGUGCCUUCAUGAACUCUUCAAAAGCUUCAAAUCUAGGCUAGGCUACAGGAAGAACAGCAGCAACUGAAGACUGGCACCUUUUCUGGAACCUCAGCAGCACCUUCCUUGUUUCGUAAGAUUUCGAAGAAGCAUAUCAAAAUUCUUCCACCCAUUCCUUCACAGUAUAAUAGGAGAAAACAUCUAUCCUCCGUUGACACCUGGAAGAAUGAGAUUCCAACUCACUCCAGGACAUGGCCAGAAAAAUUCAACAAAAGAUUUGCUAAAUCCUCUGCACUAUUAUCUAGACCAGGAUUUCUCAACCUCAGCUCUGUGGACAUUUGGGCCAGAUAAUUCUUUGUUACCAGAGGCUGUCCUGUACAUCAUCAGGUGUUUAGCAGCAUUCCUGGCCUCAACCAAAUGGAUGCCAGUAGCACCUCCCCCACCCACUUGUGACAGCCAAAGAUAUCUCCAGACAUUGCCAAAUGUCCCCUGUUAUGGAGAAUCAUCCUCAGUUGAGAAUCACUGGUUUAGGCAAUGAUCAAAGUGGGGCAACUAAAUCAAAAGGCACUGCAAUCUUAAGUUGAUCAAGCAUCCUUCUUUGAAAUCACUCAGCACUUUCAUAUAUUGCAUUUAUAUCUUAGGUAUUCAUAUUCUAACAAUUCAGCCAAUGUUUUUUGAGUUCGCAAUGGACAAGGUACAAGAUCAAGUAAGUAAUUCUGUGUAUCCAUAAAACAGAAAUGGAUAUGGUAUGUCCCAGUUCUCCACAGUAGGCAUUUAUGUUAUUCCCAUCCCAAUAUUUAGCCCUGAUCAGGGUUGUCAAACAUUGCAUGGGACAUACUUAUCCUAAAAAAUUAUUCAUUAUUUAUCUGAAAUUGAAAUUUAACUGGAUGUCCUAUGUGUGUGCAUGUGUAUGUUUGUUUGUUUGUUUCUUUUUCUAAAUCUGAUUACCCUAUCCUAACAGACUCAAGGUUUUUUCCCUGUUCCACAAACUUUAUGACUUGACUUCAUUAAAAAUAAUAAAGAGGAAUAACUGCAAAGGCUUUAAAAAUGCUGUUAGAAUGAGUAGCACAACUGAAUUUGAGGAUACAUUUUCUUUGAAGGAUGUCUAUUUUCCUACUGAAAAUAGUGGCAAACUCCUUAGAACUCAUUCAAAGCCUGAUGGGAUUCAUUGCCUGAUUUAUUUAAAAACACUUCUGAUGCUCACAGACUAUUUAUCAUUUACACAGCAAAUGAUGUUCUUCUAGUAUUCUUGUUGGGUGAGUUAGCAUUGUGGAAGGACAUAGAGGAGAAUCAGACACAAACUUCUUAUAACCUCAUAAACAGGAAGAAAGGGAGCAGAAGCAUAGACUGACUUUACUUUCACUCAGCUUACCUUCCUAGUUCUCCAGGUGUGGUCCUCAGAAGAGGAAUAUCAUGUGACCUGGGAACUUGCUAGAAAUGCACAUCCUUGGGACCCACCCCGGACCUACUGAAUCAGAAACUCUGAGAGUGGGUCCUAGCAACCAGUGUUUUCACAGGCCUUCCAGGUGAUUCUUCCGCAUGUUCGAGUUUGAGAACAACUGCUUUAGAGCCCUGGUUCUUGACCCUGGCUACAGGGUAAAACACCUGGGGAGUUUUUAAAAUACUGAUGCAUGGGGUCCAUUCCAAGGGAGUCUGAUAUAAUUACUAUGGGGUGCAGCCCAGGCGUAAACAUUUUUUAAAAACUCCUCAACCAGAAUAACGGCUCUACAGAAAUUUUAUCAAAUGCCAAAGAAAGAGUUCCUUAUUUUGCAACUAUAGUGCUUUCUACUCUGGCCCUAAUCAACUUUCAUAAAGGCAGAAUGGACAGACAUUACGUGUUUUAAUUUGAAGACUACCAAAAGGCCGGCCAUUAAACUAGGUAUAUGGGCUCGUCCUCAAAUCCCUAAAUCUACUCCUUAGGACCUACUAUAGCCAGUGUCAUAUAAUAGAAAAGUCACUUAUUGUCCACCAGACCCUGCCCUAAUAUUUGAUAACCUCUUGGGGCCUCAUUUUCUUGUGUCUACACUGGGGAUGAUAUUAACUCUUCACAGGAUUUGGGGAAUUAUAAAGAAAGACCAUGUAGUAAAGGCAGGAAGAUCAAUAAUCAAUAAUCACAUCAGAACCUGAAGGGACUUCGUACCAUUGAAGUGAGGCAGAGGAGAGAGAAAUUUAGAAGGACAAAUUCACAAAUUUCAAUGUGUUUCUAUAAUAACUACUUAAAUUAUUUUCUCUUUGAAUUGCCUCACUGUUGUGUGUGUAUGUCCCCACUCCCACCUGUCCCAUUAUUUUCCUGUUUUCACUUGUACCUUGGCAACCCAUCUGUGGUUUUGGCCAAGCUGUUUUAAUGGCAUUGAACCUGGUAGUUUUUUUAAAAGAGUGUGGUAGUAGUUAUAUAUGGCUCGAUAACUCCUGGGGCUACAACAAGGUUAAUGCGACAGUUUUUGUUGUUUAAAAAACAUGCUUGUCUGACAAGUCAAUCAUUUUAAGCCCCUUGUUCACUUCAGGAUGGUUGCUAAAGGCUUCUCUGUGAGCUAAAAGCUCUCGCUGUUAAGGGGCUGCCUGCCCUGACUGUAUGCAUUAAAUGGAACAGUUCUCUACAUGGUUUCUUACUACAGAUGCCUUGGGAUAUAUGGACACUGGCAUUACCUGCUGCAACAGGUCCUCUCCCAGGGUACUGCUGAGACCUAAGGGCUUAAAUGCUCACCAAACCAAGUGACCUUGGAGGGCUGGUCAUGGUGGGCAUCUGGGAGCUGGGAAAGAGCAUUGGAGAACUUCAUAGGGAAACCUAGUAGGCAAAAAUGAAAGAACCCAUAAGGGCCAUUGGCAUGAGCCAUAGCUAAAGGCCACUGGGUUAGCUCUCAAAGAAAACUGCAAGAUUGAAGCAUAAAUUCCUUCAUCAUGAACCAGAAGUCAUGGAGUGGAGCCAGGGGCAAGAAAGAGAAAGAUGAAGAGGUAGAACCACCAGGAUAAAGGUGCCAAGAAAAACAGUGAGAGCAACACUCAGGGAACCAGAGACAGGAACACAGCUGGGAACUAGGAGGAGAAACCACCACAGCUGGAGCGCAAAGUGGCCAGGUCAGAAAAGCCUCAUGGAAUCCUGGUUAACUGAAUGUUUCUAUUGACUGAGGCCACUGCUUAAGCCCUGUAUUCUUUUUUAUUUCAAUCCCCAUGGUUAGAAAAAUAGUCCUAAAAUGGGUUCAUACCCUUUCCUAUCCUGCAAGAUCUUAAACAUCACUAUCUUUUCCUGCAGUAGUUAAAAGCAUGGGCUUUGGAAUCAGAAACUGGGCACAAAUCUGAGCCCUGCUACUUAUUAACUGUGUAACAUUGGUCAAAUGAAUAAACUUCCUGGAGCCUCAGUUUCCUUGCCUGUAAAAUGUGAGUAACAAUACCAACUUAUUUUCAGGUUGUGAGCAUUUCUCCAUAAUAAUCCACAUAAAACACUUACCAGAGCCCUUGGCAUACUGUGUGAGCAUGUAAUAAUGUUAGCUGUCAUUCCAAGACAACAUGUUGGAAUAAUCUACUUUUUCCAUCACUAUAUAUCUCAUUUUCCUUCUUUUUCUUCUCCCUCAAACCUGUCCCCAUUCCAACAGAUGUUUUGGCCUGUGUUCCUAGCCUCCAGUGACAGCAGAAAGCCUGUUAGAUUUCCUGCCUUUGUUUCCCAAAAUUUGAGCCCCAAGAAACUGGGACAAGAUAUUUUCCUGAGACAAGAUAUCUCAGGAAGGGGAAUGAGUGGAGCUUCUUUUCACCCCACACUAGAAAGCCAUUCUGUUUAGAAAAAGGAGACGGAAGGGAAAGAAAAGGGUGCUAUACCAGUUUUCCAGUAUCACCGUCAGGGAGAAAGCAAGGCCGGAGAGUAUCUGGGCAGAUGUAACUAUAAGCAGCCUAAUAAAGGUUCCCAAGUCCAAACCAUGAAUCCAAACGGCAGAGCUGCCAGACAUGAAAGGCCUUGCUGCCCUUCCACCCCACAAUACUUCACCUCUGGAAGCCUUGACAAUUCCAGGGAGUAUUUGCAAAACCCUGCCCCCACCCAAAAUUUUUAAAAUACUGCAUAUGAGUGAGUAAAAUGAUGCCGAGAUUUUUAAAAGGACAAGCUUACCAUCAGAUAGGUAGAAUGAGUAGUAGUGGCAGCGGUGGUGGUAGUGAUAUAGAGAUAAAAGAGUUAAGUGGAGUUACUGAAAUGUGUAGUUAUAUUUCUCACACUCUGGUGUUUGUGGAUUUGUGGGCUGAGAUUCUUAUCAAAUUCCGGAACUUGCAAUGUCUCAAGGUAAUUGUUUAAAAUAUUAAUUGUUUUACUCACACUGCAAAUGUUGAUAUAGAUGCUGGGGUGGAGGUGGGGCAAUAGGCCAGAAUAAGCCCAAGAAUACCUUGGAAUUUGCUGAAUUUCUUUCUUUUUGCAUAAUCUUAUUCACACAUUAACAUAAUAUGAACCACUCUGGCUCCAUGAGCAGCACAGAAGAGACUUUCUGCAAAUGUGAUUAUUAGGGCAAAAGUUAGGAGAUUUUUUGCCCCCAGCUUUUCUCCUCUCCUAAAAUCUUUUUUUUUUUUUCAUUUCUUUGUCAGUGUCUUUAAUUUUUUUAGCUGCAUUUAAAAGGCUUUCUAUUAUUUCUGCAUGAGUAAGAGCAUGUGUCAUGUCAGCCUCCUUGUCAGCUUCUGUUUCACUUUCAUUAAAUUUGUUGAUUGAGUGUAAAGAAGGAGGCACUGUCAUCAUUUCCAGAUUUCAUAGCUGUAGGUUAGAUCUCUCUCGGAGCAAUGCCAUGAUUACUGCUGCAAUUUUGUAAUGGAGCCCUGGAGAGACAGGGAUGAAACCAGGGAAGGCUCCUUAUCCCUUUCGUGGGUCCAGGGAGGCAGAAAGAGAGGGGAGGAGGAUGUUUCUGUUUCACCUCUAUUCAUUCAUUCAUUCAUUUGCUUCACAAAUAUUGAGCACCUCCUGAGUGACAGACACUGAUUUGGGUGCUGGAAAGCAUAAGCAGCCCUGGUGCCUGUCCUCACAGAGCCUAUGGUCUGCUGGUGAGACGGACUUAAUCAGAUAAACACACUAAUGAAUGUAUAGUUGCACCAACAGAUCCUCAUUUAAUUGAGCUGGACUAGGACCUAGGCAUCAGUAUUUUUUUUAUAAGCUUCAUAGGUAACUCUGCCAGGCCUGGGAAUCACUGGGCUAGACCAUGCAAGUUCUAAUCAUAUAGGCUCUACUCAAGCAUUAAGCAUUUUGAUUUUAUCUUUCAAGCUGUGGUGAAAACGUUACUGAAGAGAGGUGAUAUAGUAAGAUGCUCACGGUUUUUAAAAUUAAGCUUUUUUAUUUUGAAAUAAUUAUAGACUCAUAUGCAGUUGUAAGAAAUAAUACAGGGGAAUCCCAUAUAUCCUUUAUCCAGUUUCCCCAAUGGUAACAUCUUGCAAAACUAUGGUACAAUAUCACAACCAGGAUAUUGACCUUGGUGCAGUCAAGAUAAAGCAUUUUCAACACCACAUGAAUCCCUCCUGUUGUCCUUGGAUAGCCCUCCCCACUUUACUCCUGGUGACCACUAAUAUGUUCUCCAUUUCUAUAAUCUUGUCUUUUCAACAGUUAUAUAAGUGGAAUCAUAUAGUAUAGAACCUCAUGGGAUUGGCUGUUUUCUCUCAGCAUCAUUUUCUGGACAUUCAUUCAGGUUGUUUCACGUGUCAAUAGUUUGUUCCUUUUUAGAGGGCUGACUAGCGGUGUUCCAUGUAUAGGGGUGCCAUAGUUUGUUUAACCAUUCACAUGUUGAAGGACAUCUGGGUCUGCUCCAAUGUUCAGAGAUUUUAAAUAGAGCUGCUAUACACAUUUGUGUAUAGGUUUUUGUGUGAACAUGAAGUCUUUGUUUCUCUGGGAUACAUGCCCAAGUGUGCAAUUGCUGAGUUAUAUGAUAGUUGCAUGUAGAAACUAUCAUGCAUAAAGAAACUGUCAAACUAUUUCCAGAGUAUCUGCACCAUUUUACAUUCUCAACAGUAAUGUACCAGUGAUCCAGUUUCUCCUCAUUCUCAUCAGAAUUUAAUGUUGCCACUGUUUUUUAUUUCAGCCAUUCUGAUAGGUAUGUGGUAAUUGCUUGUUGUGGUUUGCUUUGAGUUUCUCUAAUGGCCAACGAUGCUGAACAUCUUUUCAUGUGCUUAGUUGCCAUCUGUAUAUUACCUUUGGUGAAGUGUCUCUUCAUGUCUUUGGCCUAUUUUCUAAUUGGAUUAUUAGCCUUAAUGUUGAGUUUUGAGAGUUUACUUUUAUAUUCCAAAUACUAGUCCCUUUUGUCAAAUAUGGGGUUUGCAAUUUUUUUCCCACUCUCCAAUUUGUUUUUUAUCCUGUUUACAGGGUCUUUCACAGAGCAAAGUUUUUUAAUUGUGAUGCAGUCUAAUUUAUCAGCUUUUCCUUUUAUGGACCAUAUUUUUGGUGUCGAGUCUAAGUCGUCUUUGCUGAGUCCUACAUCAUGAAGAUUUUUUCUUACUAAAAUUUGAUAGUUUUAAAUGUUCUCUAUUUAAGUCCGUGAGUUAUUUUGAGUUAAUUUUUGCAUAAGGUAUAAAUCUUAGGUUGAGGCUCACUUUUUAAUCUUAAGGAUUGCUCAGCAUCAUUUAUUGAAAAGGCUAUCUUCCCUCCAUUGAAUUUCUUUUGUACCUGUGUCAAAACAUCAGUUGCAUAUAUUUGUGUGUAUCAAUUUCUGGGUCUUCUGUUCUGUUCAGUGGAUCUAUGUGUCUAUUUCUCUGCCAAUACCAUAUAGUUUUGACUAUAGUAGCUGUAUAAUAAGUCUUGAAACCCUUGAAACCAGGUAAGACUGGUCCCUUUCAUAUUAGCCUUCCUUUUCAAAAUUGUUUUAGCUAUUCUAGUUCCUUUGCUUUUCUGUAUACAUUGUAGAAUAGUGUUGUCUAUAUCUAUUUUUAAAACUUGCUGGAAUUUUUUUUUAAGAGACAGAGUCUUGCACUGUUGGCCAGGUUGGAGUACAGGGGUAUGAUCAUAGCUCACUACAGCACCAAACUCCUGGGCUCUAGCAAUCUUCCUGCCUCAGUCUCCCAAGUAGGUAGAACUACAUGCAACUGCCACUACAAUCGUAUUUAAAAGUAAAGUUAAAAAAAUUUUUUUUGAGAGAAGAUCUCACUCUGUUGACUAGUCUGGUCUUGAACACCUAGCCUCCAGCAAUCCUCUUGCCUCCCAAAGCACUGGAAUUGCAAGAGUGAGCUACCAGGCCCAACCAGUAUGUUAUGUGUGCAGUUUUUUGUAGAUAUUAUUUAUUAUGUUGAGGAAACUCCCCUCUAUUGCCAUUUUUCUGAUAGUUUUUAAGAUCAUUCAUGGGUGUUGAAGUUUGUCAGAGUCUUUCUGUAUCCAUUGAUUGUUAUGAUCAAGAAUUUUUUCUUUAGCCUGUUAAUACGAUGUAUUAAAUAGCUUCAUUUUCAACUACUGAGCCAGCCUGAAAUAAACCUCGCUUGGUCAUGAUAUAUUAUUACAUAUGCUGCUGAAUUCUAUUUUCUCUUUUACUGGUCUUUUGGCUGGAGAGAGUAGGCUUUUGUUGGGGCUUUACUUGUACGUGCACAUUGUUAUUUCUGGGUUGUCAGCCUCCUUCUCUCCAAGUCUGGGAUAUAUGGGACAAAAACAUAAUCCAGGGAGCCCACCACCUUGUUAGACUUUGAGUCCCUAGAUCCCUAGGUGGUCUGGCUUCUUUUUUUCACCUUUGAAAAUCUUAUGUUUGUUUUAUACAUAAUGUUGAGAGUUUUUCGUUGUUCUUAGUGGCAGAAGUAUAGAAAGAUACUCCAUCUUCUCAAAAAUAGAAGUUCAGAUUAUGUUUUGAAAGGCACUGUAGGCAGGCCAGGGAAGGCUUGUAAAAGGCUACUGCACUGGUCCAGGUGAGGGGAGUUAGUCUGGUAGAAGGCUGUUUCUUCCACCAUUCUCCCCUCACAUUCCACUGCCCCAUUUGCAUGGAGCUGGGGUUCUACUACCCCAGUAGGGCAGCAAGAGAGAAGGAGCAGGCAAUAUCUUGGAGCAUUACACCAUGAUAAAGGGACACCAAUACCCUCCAGAUGCUAGCUGUUUCUUUCUAGAGCUUUUAAACAUUCUCCUUCAGCAGAAGAAAUAAGUCACUCCUGAAAGCAUCCUAACAAUGUGCAUUUCUCCAAAGUUUCCUUAACACUUCACAUUUAACAUGACUCCAGGUAUAAGCAACAUUAAACAAGUCAUAUCUUAUGUUACAACUUGAGUGAAACUUUAAUGAUGCUGAAUUUGCUAAUUUGCUCUGGUAUAAUGUAUUUCCUGUUUAUAAUCCCUUUUGGCUAAUAGCACUAAUCAACAGAAAACACUGACAGACUGCACAAUGGCAACAGUAAUUCUGGACAGAGAUAGUUUUAUUAUCUACAGAUGAAUCCAUGUUUCUAAAACAUUAUUUACUAUAAUGUAAAAUAUGGGUUGGGCGUGGUGGCUCACACCUGUAAUCUCAGCACUUUGGGAGGCUGAGGCGGGCAGAUCACCUGAGGUCAGCAGUUCAAGCCUAGCCUGGCCAACAUGGUGAAACCCCAUCUCUACUAAAAAUACAAAAAUUAGCCAAGUGCAGUGGUGCAUGCUUGUAAUCCCAGCUACUUGGGGGGCUGAGGUAGGAGGAUUGAUUGAACCUGGGAGGCAGAGGUUGCAGUGAGCCGAGAUCAUACCACUGCACUCCAACCUGGGCAACAGAAGGAGACUCUAUCUCAAAAAAUAAAAAUAAAAAUAAAAAUAAAAUGUAGUAGAUAAAGGUCAUAAUUUCUAUGCACCAAAGCUUUUAUAGGAGGCCUGUAUUUUAGCAAUCAACCUGUCCUUAUUCUGUUCAAAUUCAAGGGCACUUGAAUCACUUUAGAUGGUGUCACCUACAUUGGGAAGCAAUCACAGUAUAGAUAUUUUUUCUUAUUAUGUUUGCAAAAUAAACUUCACAAAAUUGUCUAGCAACCUUGUGACCACUUGUUUUCUUUUAUUGAACAUAAUAAUCCUUUUAAC